rnacentral:rRNA from 1 species
UACGUAGGGGGCAAGCGUUGUCCGGAAUUAUUGGGCGUAAAGAGCUCGUAGGCGGUCUGUCGCGUCGGACGUGAAAACUCGGGGCUCAACUCCGAGCCUGCGUUCGAUACGGGCAGACUAGAGUUCGGUAGGGGAGACUGGAAUUCCUGGUGUAGCGGUGAAAUGCGCAGAUAUCAGGAGGAACACCGGUGGCGAAGGCGGGUCUCUGGGCCGACACUGACGCUGAGGAGCGAAAGCGUGGGGAGCGAACAGG